UACGAAGGGGGCUAGCGUUGCUCGGAAUUACUGGGCGUAAAGCGCACGUAGGCGGAUUGUUAAGUCGGGGGUGAAAUCCUGGAGCUCAACUCCAGAACUGCCUUCGAUACUGGCGAUCUCGAGUUCGGGAGAGGUGAGUGGAACUGCGAGUGUAGAGGUGAAAUUCGUAGAUAUUCGCAAGAACACCAGUGGCGAAGGCGGCUCACUGGCCCGGAUACUGACGCUGAGGUGCGAAAGCGUGGGGAGCAAACAGG
rnacentral:rRNA from 1 species